AUGAACGCUGGCGGCGUGCCUAACACCUGCCCGUCGAACGAAGCACCUUACCUGAUUCUUCGGAUGAAAGUUUGGUGACUGAGUGGCGGACGGGUGAGUAACGCGUGGGUAACCUGCCCUGUACAGGGGGAUAACAGCUGGAAACGGCUGCUAAUACCGCAUAAGCGCACGAGGAGACAUCUCCUUGUGUGAAAAACUCCGGUGGUACAGGAUGGGCCCGCGUCUGAUUAGCUGGUUGGCAGGGUAACGGCCUACCAAGGCAACGAUCAGUAGCCGGUCUGAGAGGAUGAACGGCCACAUUGGAACUGAGACACGGUCCAAACUCCUACGGGAGGCAGCAGUGGGGAAUAUUGCACAAUGGGGGAAACCCUGAUGCAGCAACGCCGCGUGAGUGAAGAAGUAUUUCGGUAUGUAAAGCUCUAUCAGCAGGGAAGAUAAUGACGGUACCUGACGAAGAAGCUCCGGCUAAAUACGUG
rnacentral:rRNA from 1 species